rnacentral:rRNA from 1 species
CGAACGCUGGCGGCGCGCCUAACACAUGCAAGUCGAACGGAGUUAAAGAAGCUUGCUUUUUUAACUUAGUGGCGGACGGGUGAGUAACACGUGAGCAACCUGCCUAUCAGAGGGGGACAACAGUUGGAAACGACUGCUAAUACCGCAUAAUGUGCCCGGGAGGCAUCUUCCGGGUACCAAAGAUUUAUCGCUGAUAGAUGGGCUCGCGUCUGAUUAGAUAGUUGGUGGGGUAACGGCCUACCAAGUCGACGAUCAGUAGCCGGACUGAGAGGUUGAACGGCCAACAUUGGGACUGAGACACGGCCCAGACUCCUACGGGAGGCAGCAGUGGGGGAUAUUGGACAAUGGGGGCAACCCUGAUCCAGCGACGCCGCGUGAGGGAAGAAGGUUUUCGGAUUGUAAACCUCUGUCAACAGGGAAAAUAAUGAUGGUACCUGUGGAGGAAGCCACGGCUAACUACGUGCCAGCAGCCGCGGUAAUACGUAGGUGGCAAGCGUUGUCCGGAAUUACUGGGUGUAAAGGGAGCGUAGGCGGGACGGCAAGUCAGAAGUGAAAAUUAUGGGCUCAACUCAUAACCUGCUUUUGAAACUGUUGUUCUUGAGUGAAGUAGAGGCAAGCGGAAUUCCUAGUGUAGCGGUGAAAUGCGUAGAUAUUAGGAGGAACACCAGUGGCGAAGGCGGCUUGCUGGGCUUUUACUGACGCUGAGGCUCGAAAGCGUGGGGAGCAAACAGGAUUAGAUACCCUGGUAGUCCACGCCGUAAACGAUGAUUACUAGGUGUGGGGGGAUUGACCCCUUCCGUGCCGCAGUUAACACAAUAAGUAAUCCACCUGGGGAGUACGACCGCAAGGUUGAAACUCAAAGGAAUUGACGGGGGCCCGCACAAGCAGUGGAGUAUGUGGAUUAAUUCGAAGCAACGCGAAGAACCUUACCAGGUCUUGACAUCAAGUGACCGCUCAAGAGAUUGAGCCUUCUCCUUCGGAGACACGAAGACAGGUGGUGCAUGGUUGUCGUCAGCUCGUGUCGUGAGAUGUUGGGUUAAGUCCCGCAACGAGCGCAACCCUUAUGAUUAGUUGCUACGCAAGAGCACUCUAAUCAGACUGCCGUUGACAAAACGGAGGAAGGUGGGGAUGACGUCAAAUCAUCAUGCCCUUUAUGACCUGGGCCUCACACGUACUACAAUGGCGUUUAACAAAGAGAAGCGAUACGGCGAUGAGGAGCAAAUCUCCAAAAAACGUCUCAGUUCAGAUUGCAGGCUGCAACUCGCCUGCAUGAAGUCGGAAUUGCUAGUAAUCGUAGAUCAGCAUGCUACGGUGAAUACGUUCCCGGGCCUUGUACACACCGCCCGUCAAACCAUGAGAGUUGGCAACACCCGAAGCCGAUAGUCUAACCGCAAGGAGGACGUCGUCGAAGGUGGGGUCGAUGA